GCGGGUGUAGCUCAAUGGUAGAGGGCUGGCCUUCCAAGCCAGCUGUGAGGGAUCGAUCCCCUUCACCCGCUCCA
rnacentral:tRNA from 1 species